rnacentral:rRNA from 1 species
UACGUAGGGGGCAAGCGUUGUCCGGAAUCAUUGGGCGUAAAGGGCUCGUAGGCGGUUUGUCGCGUCGGGAGUGAAAACCUACAGCUUAACUGUGGGCUUGCUUUCGAUACGGGCAGACUUGAGGCAUGCAGGGGAGAACGGAAUUCCUGGUGUAGCGGUGAAAUGCGCAGAUAUCAGGAGGAACACCGGUGGCGAAGGCGGUUCUCUGGGCAUGUUCUGACGCUGAGGUGCGAAAGCGUGGGGAGCAAACAGG